rnacentral:tRNA from 1 species
GGGGUUGUGACUCAGUGGUAGAGUACCUGCCUAGUAUGCAUGAGGCACUGGCUGUCCACCCCC